rnacentral:lncRNA from 1 species
UGGCCCUGACACGUGCCUAAGGGAUCAAUGAGGACGGCUGACAAAUGAAGCGACCCUUCGUGGUGCGCGGAUGUCGUGAGAUUAGGUUCGUAAUAAAUUUGAAUCGAUUCGUCUGGCUCUCACAGUUCGUGAUCGCUAUUCUGCACUGAGUAAAGAUGGAACAUGAUGAUGAUAUUAAUCUUGAUGCUUGUUCUUUAAUUGUUUGGAAACUAUGCUUGCCUAGUGUUGACGCCAGAUUUCGACACGAGUAAAAUCGGCGUUAGGAGAGGAAGAAAUUAAAAGAUGCGGCGAGAUAAAAGGGCGACUAUUGGAAAUCGGCCGAUUGGUGCUACAGUCAAGGAUCGGCCGAUUGGUGCUACAGUCAAGGAUCGGCCGAUUGAUGCUACAGUCGAGGAUCAGCCGAUUGACCCUUGGAGUUCCGCCUCGCCCGACCCCUGGGGUUUGGGAUCGGACGCGCUCGACCCUCCAAAGGAGGAUCUCCGCCUUGCCCGACCGUAGUUUCCAGGGUCGGAGUAAGUCUGAGCCCUCGGCAUGUGGGUCCUGAUCGGUUACCCCUUGCCGAUGAGGUGAUCGGUCGAUUAGGAGGUUGGAAUAGUUGGGCCGGUGUGGGCUUAAAAAGGGUUAUGAAGAUGAAGAGGGAAUCAGCCCGUGAAGCGCGUGAUGAUCGACCUAGUACGAAUCGUACUUGUAAAUAUUUGUUUUCUGUUUAAAUUUAGGGAUAGAGUUCUAGUCAGAUAAGAAGUCGUUUGUACGGGGCUAUAAAUAGCCACCCUUGUAGAUCUGUAAUCAGAAUCAACUCAAUACAAUAAACUACUAUUUCCUCGUACUUACUUUCAAGCAGGCGACUUCGCCAACACUUUUUCUUCUUUUUCACAAGUUCGUACGGGUUGGCGGGGCUGCAUCAACUUGACCUCCGACCAAUCUUGUAAGUUCCGCUUAUCGAGUAAAUUCUAAGCUUUAACUUCGGGCGCAUCGCUGUCGUUUCGUUUAGAUUUAUUCAUCAGUUAUCGAUAUUUACUAGAAUUCUAGGUUUUACCUGUUGUUCUAGUUUUAUCACCAGUUAUCCAGCUAGGAAUCGGCAAUUUCAGCUUUUCUUGUACUUCGUCAUUUAAUUUACUUAUUUUGUGCAUAGCCGAUUAGAUCUGCUCCUUGUGUUGCCACUGUAGCGUUGUAUAGAUUGCUCCAGCAGUUUUUUAUUAACGCUGCCCGGUAAUCGGCUGCUUCAUAGCCGAUUUCUUUAUUACGGCAAAUCGGCCGAUUCACUGAUAAGCUUUCUCGAGAUCGGAGCCUUAGCCGAUCGCAACCUCUAGAAUCUGACACGUCUUUUUCCUUGCCAAUCAACAGGUCAGAUUGGCUGGCACGCCGCGCAAACCGCACCAGGACGAUCACCCGAACAGGAGUUAAGCAGAUUCUCCCGGGUCGUGUGUCAGACGCUGGGGAUUCGGUCAGCCGAUUUCUAGCGCCAACACCUAGUAUAAGUUCCUAAUCUAGACUGGUUAAUGAACUUAGAACUUGAGCUAAAAUAUUGAAAGUAAGGACCAACUUUAGUCGCUUUUGGCAAAAACAAACCCACCGCCAAAAAGCCUUGCAUGUCUAGGAGUCAGUGGAGUAGUUACCACCUGACGGGUAAGCCUUGUUGAGUACUAGUAUACUCAGCCUUUCUUGUGGCUUCUUUUUCAGGUGUGGUUGCUGGUGUUGUCUUGUUUGAGACCCAUCCUCGGUCAGCGAGGACAGGGGUCAUUGAUGUCAUGAUUGGCUUCAUCAUGAUAUCGUACAUCGACGUUUAGCUUCCGCUUGAUUUACUUCUUGUUCCUUACAACCUUGCAAAUUCGGUCUGAAUUUCAAAAACUCUAAUGUAAUAAAAUGUUGAAUUAUGUUAUUGUGAUGGGAAUGUUGUAAUCUCUGUGCCUACUCACCUUCGUGUGAGCAAUGCUUCUCGAUCCUGAGUAAGUGGUUUAUCGGAUGAAAUCCGACGGACGACCAUGUUGACUUGCUUAAAGUGCAUGAUCGCGUGUCAGACGACUUAAGUGCAUUUUAGUCAGGUUAAUUUAGGCGGUUCCGCCACAGCUGGUAUCAGAGCUUGAAGCAUGGUACGGAGAACAACAGACCUUAAAACACUUUUUCUGAAUAAAAUUUGCAAGAAACUAGUUGAAAAAUUCGUAAGUUCGUUAAGGAUGAGUUUAGUACAAGAAGCCCUAGGGGAAUUUUGGGUCUUUUAAGGUGGCUAGUAACUAUUGGUUAUUUACUGACUUUCAGCACUUGCCACCAUGUUUAUCAUACGUGUGCAGAGUUCCACAUCGCGAGUAUGCGAAGGGCGAUAGGAAUUCGAUUCCAACGAACCUAUCAUCAUGGUUGUUUUUGCCCACAUCUAUUAUACGUGCGCAAGGUUCCGUAUGUUAAAUCAUGCGAAGGGUGAUAGGAAUUCGAUUCCAACGAACCUAUCAUCAUGGUUGUUUUCGCCCACAUCUAUUAUACGUGCGCAAGGUUCCAUAUGUUAAAUCAUGCGAAGGCUGGUAUUGUUCAAUUCCAACGAGCCUAUCAUCACGGUUGUUCGCCCACGUCUAUUAUACGUGCGCAAGAUUCCGCAUCAUGAGUAUGCGAAGGGUUAUAGGGUUCUAUUCAAAAGGACCUAUUUCCACGGUUGUUGCGCUGUCCAUGCAGCGUUAAACGCAUGGGUGCUGUUUCUAUAGUGAACGGUAAUGUUUGUGGACGCUUUCGUGACGUGCUGGCACGAAAGGUUCAGGUUGAAAUUUUUUGUAGGUACACUAACCGCGAUUGCGUAAGUUAACGAUGGAUAGAAAAUUUCAACUAGUUAUUAUAGUGAGAGCCGUAAAUGUUGCCUUGCCACCGGCACUAACCACGUAAGUCCAAAACUUUUUGGCAAUUAUUUUGUUGUGAGGUCAAAUAGGGCGUGCAUGCAUCAUGAUUAUUGCUUUGUGCAUAAACAUGCUCCUCUCAACCUUGUUCUAAUAAUAAUUAACUUGUGGCAACCUGUACAGUACGUCUUCUCUCUGUAUGUGAUUCUGCAUGCUUGUGCUCUCUAUUGUGUGAUCUUGUUGAUGACAUAUUGAAUGCAAGAAAAAUAUAGCCUGAACCUAUUUUAAUUGUUUUAAGCAUGUUCUGCUUCCUAGGAUUAUGUAGGUUGUUAUUCUUGCUCAAAAAAAAAUUUGAAACUUCUGCAGUAGCCUAUUGGAUGUAUCUUAGCUGCUGUAAUUUUUAUUGGUAUGCAGAAUUCUAUUUAAAUGCAGUUAUUCAAUUUUCUUGCUAACUACUAAUAUAACUAGAUCUGUUCCUAUGGCUUGCUUAUGUGAUGGUGUGUCUAUGUAACCGUGUUUUCAUGUUGCACAUGCCUGAAAAUAGUUUGCUAAAUGUAAGUUAAAAACUUGCCUUCUUUACUGAAGAAGAGAUAUACACCUACUCAGUAAAAGAAAAUAGAAGAUAACAAUACCUUGCCACCAUGUUUUGCAUGUUUAUGUGUGGUUGUGUUGCUGUAGAUAAAUGCAUAGAUUGUGCGAGCCUGGUGCUUAGUAUUAGUUACUUAAGCUAGUUAGAUUGAGUUUCUGAAAUGCUUGCUUAAGACCAUGACAUAGGUGUGGAUGUGUUGUUUUUAGGUGAUACCAUGGUUGUUAAGCUUUGUCCUCGGUGAGCGUAUGAGUUGUUGUUGUGCUUGUUUGCAAAAAAAUCAUGCCCAAAAUCCUUGUUUCGAUCUCUCUGUUGCUAUCCUAAAAAUGAUCUGGUGAAAGGUUAAUUCCGCUUUCUAUCUUGGCCUCAUACUCUUUUUCUUGUAAAGCCUGUCGUUGCUUUACCAACUAAAUCUUAGGUUGGUCGUGAUCUGUUAAUCUCUUUGGUGGACAAAAGAUAUGCCUUGAAUUAAAGAAAGAAUCUCAUGUUCAAUUGUCUUCAGCGGUUAAUCUAUGUUUUCUCUCAUGCUAUCCUUCUUUUGUUGGACCACACCCUUAUCGAUAUGUGCGCUUGUGUUGUAUCUCCAUCUUGGACCAUCUCCUUGUUGACUCCAUACCUUGUAGCUGCCUUUGCUAGCUAUUCCUCCUUCGCAUGGUGCUUGCUCCUAUACAACUAAAUUUUGCCAUGUGAGAAUUCUUGUGGGUUGUAUGUUCAGUAAUGGUGCCCCGAUUAGUGAUCUACGGUGCCGCGAUGAAACUGAGAGCCUCCUGUGGGUGCACACACAAGGCUGUGUUGCUCGGCACGCGCUGGUAUUGAGAUUUCUAGUCAUGAUCCAUUGCAGAACUACACCGAUGUGUUAUCUUCACAUGAACUCUUCCUUGGUUAUCUCUCCAUAUCUAAUCGGAAGAUCCUUAUAUCAAAUCAAAGGUGGUAGAGUUUCCUUCUGGAGCUACAAAGAGGUGGCAACUUAAAAGAUGAAAACUGAUCUUGCACAUGUGUUCGUCUAAAAGCUCGUACGUGCUAAAGAUCAUCUAGCUACCUUGUUCAACAACUUUGGUCUCGUUGAGUUCUUUUGACUUGUGUACUUUUAUUUGCUCCAGAAACUCUCUACAGGACAGUCGUGUAAAAUCUCUUAAACAAAAUGCUGGCAAAAUUUGGUAAGAAUUGGCCAAGUAGGUUUUGAGAUAUGUUUAGAUUAGUAACCCCCUAUUUGCUGAGAAAACAGUUUGCACACCUGGUGGGAUUUUAUUUUUUUUCGACCACCUUAAGGACUUUUUCUGAAAGGAACCCUUAAACCUAAGUUGUUAAGCCAUGAGCAUAGAACAUUUUGGUGAAAUUUCAGUGGAAUUAGAUCAAUGGUGUAAGAGAUAUAAUCUGCUCAUUCCUGCUCUGUCUCUGAAAAUCCCAGAAUAAAACUCUCUGAGAAUUAUAGUUUAUCACCUUCCUAGGCCUUGAUUAAGCUACAACCUUGAAUACCAAAAUUGUUGGAAACCAUCUAAAUAACCUUCUGGUAAAAUAUCAAAGUUUUUGGAUAAGUGGUUUGGAAGUUAUGGUCGGUUUUGCACUGCACUGUUUCUGAAAAUUCCAGGAUGUACCACCUGCUAAAUGUCUGAGUAGAACACCUGGUUAGAAGCUGUUUUGGCUCCACCUUUGAAUACCAAACUUGUCACUAAUUACCUAAAGCACCUUCUGGUAAAAGUUUAAAAGUUUUUGCUAAGAAGUUUGAGAGUAAUGGUUUGAUCAGUGAGGUGUGGUUACAAACGGUUUCAGGCUACACCACAAUGGAAAGAUCUAAUCCUAUGGCCUUCCUAAAGGCCGUUUAAGCUAAAGUUUUAAAUAACAAACUUGUGAAAAAAAAUACCUAAGGAACCUUCUGAUAGAAUUUCAUGAUUUGUGGAUGAGUAACUUAAGAAGUUAUAGUAAUUAAAAGAACAUGAUAUGACUGUUAGUGUUCAGUUUCUUUAAGUUGGUUGUUGUUGAAAUUGUUGUGUGAACCCAACGUAUUGCUUAGAAUGAUGUGAGGAAGCAUUAUGUUGCAUCCAUGCGUUGCAUACAUCUUAAGGUACCUAAAAGAAAAUCAUGAUAAAAUGGUAUUCCAACCCUUGGUUUUCUUGCUAUCUGGAUGUCCAGCUCUGAGCCAAGCUCAAGUAAUCUGCUUGCUGUCCAAGAAUUGACUAUGCCAUCUUUAUCACUCUCAACACUUGAUGCAUGUGUUCUCCUCCAAUAUUUCCAACCUGAUCCUUUUUUAUACUCGAUCUUUCUCUCAUCGCUAGACCUUUCUCACUUGAGCCACAUAUGAACACUCUAUAUAAUGACCUCCGAAAUCCUAUCAAUUGGUUCAAGACUGCUGAGAAAAACUCCAUGGUUGGAUCUGAUUAAUGAUAAGCUGCCAGGGGUUUUGUUUCUAAAUUCCUUGUUGUUCCUCCAUUUCCACCUUCCAUAUCAUCACCCGAAUCUCGGGACGAGAUUCUCUUUAAGGGGGGUAGGGUGUGACAGACCGAGUAAUUAAGAACCUAAAUCAAAUAAUCAAUAGGGUGAUUAAGAAGAAAAUCAAAGCUAACUCCAAUUUACUGAGAGUUAAGGUCAAAAAUAUCUCAGAUUUUUAAACCAAGUGUUAAAACUCCCUCCUGUUGAGAAUCACUUGUGAAGCAAAUAAAAACAAAUUUUAUAUAAGAACUUAAAUCUUGACCAAUAUACUAGUGGUAGCCCUUUUCAAGUUGAACACCUUCCACUCACACCACUUCUUCUGAUUUUGAGCAGAGGAUGUUCCAAAUUCGAGUAGACGAUCGGUCAAGUUUCAAAUCCAAUUCCAAAAUGGCUUUGACCGACGUUCCACCAAAGGUCCUACCAUCCUAUCUCCAACUUCGUCGAGCUUUCCUUGUUGAUCUUUAUAAAAGUCAUAGCACAUACCUUGUUCCCGAACUUUCACUUUUGGAAGUUAAACCGCGUAGUUCAAACUUGGUGUGAGAAUACGCGUUAAACCUGACACCUUCGCCAUGACACGCAUCAUGAGCAUCAUCAUGCAUAUUUAAGCAUCUUGAACAUCUUUUUGUGCAUCGUUGGCCAUUAUAAGCAUCAUUUGUGCAUACAUGAGUGUUUUGACAAUGCAUUGUUAAGUGCUCCGAAUUUUGUUAUUUAUCGGUGAAAAAUCAAAUUUGUGAAGGAACCUCAAUUUCUUCCAUACAACUGUGCCCCCAAAUAUUUUAUUCAAAUACUAGACAUCAUUUAGUGAUUUUACAAUACCAAAUUUUUUAGAGAUGUUUUCUUGGGUCAAAAAUUUAUUUAAAGUUCAAUUUUAGCUAUUUUGUUUUGACGAUUGUGUUCAAACCAUAAAACCUUUUGAGUUGAUUCUUGUUGCAUUGGAUUCUUCGUGAUUUUAUCUUUCCAACGAGCAUUUUUGGAGAAUUUUUGAACACCGGUAGCUGGAUCGUUUAAGGGGUCAAAGUUGGCAUGUUUUAUUUCUCUGCGGGUCCAUGCGUCAGUCGUCUUCCUCCUCUCUCCACACAUGUUGCAGACCGGGAGGGACACUGGGCGCCCAUGGCGCCACGAGGCUGGCAUGCACGGAGCUCCUCCUCGCCGGAUUGGCCACCCGGACAAUGCCUACGUGAAAUUCCAACCUUGUCCUGAUCCUCCCCCUCCUAUAUAAAGCCCCCAACCCUCCCCUUUCUCCAUUGCCAGUACAAGCUCCAAGUUUUCCCCAAACUUCGCUGCCCAAAUCCGUCGCCAUGGUCGAGUUCCGGCUCAAUUCCUCGCAGCCACGGCGCCUCCUCGACGUCGCGAUUCCAUUUUGCUACUUCCCGGGCUCUCUCCCUCACCGGACGACGCCCUCCACGGGAGCUCCUCCGCCGCCCCCUUCCUGUACCAUUCCUCUGUGUGCGCCGCCCUCUUCCAAGUGCCUGACUCCAUUCUAGUGAGCCUCCUGGCCCUGUGCGCCGCCCCUCUCCCUCCCCAAUCCGCCCCUUCUCUUUCCCCCACCUUCGGCCCCAAGUCCAUGGCCGGCCGUGCUCGUUCCCGUGCGUGUGUGCCUGUGUUGUGUGCUGUUAGUGCGUGGGGGGCUUCAUUGGAGAAGAAGAAGGAAGUGUAGGGGGUUAUGGGGAAGUUUCAGGGAUAUUUGUGCAUUUAAUCCGUAGACCCAGGGGGUAGAUCGUAAGAUCAUCUCGGUUUUGUUUAUUUUUCUAGAUCUAAAAAGGCUGAAACUUUAAAAUUUCGUAGUAAAUUGUAGAAAAAUCUUAAAAUACCAAAUGAGAACUUUUUGGAAUCCUUGAGAGAAUACUUACACACUAUAGUUAUAAUAUGAUAUUUUUUAGUACAAAGUUUCUGAUGUUUUUAUUUAUUCUUUCAAAGUGCUUUUAGAAAUUCUUUUAAGUUGUUAGACGCACAUCUUGAGUUAUAGAAGUCCAAAACUUGUGAUUCCAAUUGUAUUGGUCUUGUGAUGACACCCUCUAGCUAAGAAAAAUUUUAAACAUGCUAGUUGUGUACUAUUUUUAACAUGUUUUGAUUUAAUCUUGAUAAAUAGGCAAAUUCUAGUUUGUCGUGCUUAUCAUUUUCAUAUCUAAAGUCGUGGUGCUCCAAUCAUUUUGAAAUUUUAAUGGUUUCCUACACAUGAUUCUCUUGUUCUGUGGUAAAAAUUUCAUACUGAUUGGUGCAUUUAUGACUGAGUUAUUGAUUUAACUUGUUUAUUGCUUCAUAAAUGGUUUUAAAUAAGUUAUAACUUUUAUGUAGGUGUAAAAAUGGGAAAUGUGGUUCCACUACCUUUUUAUGAUAUUUUUCUACCAUAAUAACAUAUAAUAUGGCUAUAUGCUUAUAGAAAAUGAUGAUCUUUAGAUUUAUCUUGCUUUGACAUGUUUUCUUGCAUUAGCAAUUUGUCUUUUUCGUAGAAAUUAAUUUAUACAACUUGAGCAUGUGAAAUUUGUACAGUAGCCAUGUUUUUAUAGCACCUACCACUCAUAGAAAUCUCAGCCCCAAACUAGUUGUUCUCUUAUGGCACUAAAAAUAACAUAUAUACAUGUCAUUCUAUGGAAGUUAAUGGAAGUUUGCUAGUAGAUGCAUAUACUCAAGUCAUGUGAUGCUUUUAAUAGUUAUUUUUAAGGGGUACGUAUGAUGCUAAGUUAUUAUAAGUAGUGGUUAAGCUUUGAAUAUAACUCAGAUGUAUGCUCUCAUGUUAACAUAAUAACUAAUGAUUAUGUUACUUGUAUAAGUUCUUCAUCCUGCGUAAUUCUUGCUUAAGGUGUUUAGGAUGUUCCAUGUUACCUAAAGCUAAUGCUAAUUAAUUAUGUUUAUAGUUCUUGUGAGCUAUGUGUUUAACUUAUGCAUGUGUUACCUUGUUGAAAAAAAACUAAAUGAAGAACCUUGUUGCAUAUCUGCUGAAAUGGCUACUAGAGCAGUUAUGUUGUGGCAAUAUUUUCGGGAUGCAAAUGAUGUUUUCUGUAAAUAUGGUGAAUAUAAAAGUUGUAUGUAACUUCAUAAUAUAGCUUGUGCUAAAUUUUCAUGACCAUAAGCCUGAUGCUUUAGGAGCUAUAGAUUUUACAAGUUCAUUAUCAGGUUUUGCAUGCUCUAUGUAUAGGUCUGAAUGAUUGAGUUGUUUGACUUAGCUAAGCUUUGAAUAAUGUCUUAGAGAUAGUAUAAGAAGUGUAGGGUUUUUCAUGAGCUUUCCAAAUUGUUAAAGAUCACCCAUUUUGGUGGUCUAAAUCUCCAGUUAUGAGGUUGUGAAGUGGAACGACAGAAUCUGUCUUAAUCUGGACAGAGAUGUCUUUUUUUGUGAUGUUUGACCUGGUUAACUUUGGUUUUAGCUUGUUGUGUUUAUAAAAUGUUAUGAAUGGUUUGUUAAGAUUUCUAAAAAUUCUAGAACCACCUUGUUGUGAAAGCUAUAACUCCAUAUAUGGCUGUCUAAAGUUUAAUGUCAGAAUCUGUCCACGUUUGGACAGAUUUGCUUCUUUGUGUAGCAUAGUCUUAUUAACUGUUGAAUCAUCUUGAGAUGACAAUAAUAAAGUUAUAUAUAACUUAAUAAGGUUUCUAUAAAGAUAAGAAUCAUGGUUGUUGGAGGUCUAGAACUCCAGAUAUACAUCUGUGAAGUUCGUGUCAGUUUUCUAUCCUUGUUUGUACAGAUCUACUCAUUGGUGUGUUUUCACCUUGUUAUUUGUUGAAUCAGAUUUUGGUGUGAGUAACAAAGUUUUAGAUAACUUAAUUAAAUUUACAGAAAGUCUAGGAUCACCCUUUUUGGAUGCUUAUAUCUCUAGUUAUGGUUAAAACAAGUGACUACUGUGCUGCUGUCCAGAUUCAGUGUAUGUGCUUAAGUUAUUAGCUUAAACUUGAUGUUGCCUUGUGUGCUGGCUAGUUAGCUCAUAUCACUGUUAGAGUUAAAUUUACCUACCUAAGAAUCUUAUAAAUGUGUUAUAUAAUGUUGAUCAAGCACUCAACUAAUAAAUGUUCAUGUGUGGAUGUUGCUACAAAAUAACCUUGUUGCAUAGCUUGCUAGAACCUUAGUGAUGUUGGUAUGUGACUUGCUUGUGUAUGAAUUGUUUAAAAAUAAAUGUAAUAUACUUCGAUCACCUCAACUGGCUGGUUGUGUGAUGCACUUAUAUAUGCCAUGUUGAUAAGCACCAUCACCCUAGUUCUUGUAUGAUGCUAGGCUUAAUUAGCUCUUGAUUGUUAAAUGCUUGCAAUAGCUUGACUUGAGUUAACUAGUGUGCCAUGCUUGUUAGGCUUGCUAUCUCUAUGGAGACUUGAGUGAUAGUUAGUUAAAGAACUUGCUCUCUAAGUGCUUAUAUCUUGUGGUGUAACCUUGUGCGUGUCCCGAAUGCUUUUGUGUGAUGCAUCUCUUUUUACUGUUCUUCGUAUUCAUGCUGUUGCAUCUUGCUUCUCAUCUAGAUACGCUAGAUAAACCACAUGAAGGACGUGAUGAUGGAACCGAACCCGAAGACGGUGUAUGGUGGAGCUAUCUCGAAGAUGGAAGGACUAAGCAUGUGCCGAGAUGGGAGAUGCUCGCCAAGCGAGUGUCGUCUAACAAACACUAACCUAUUGUGGUUUCCAGGCAAGCCCCGGUGCAUGAAUUCCCUAUUUUACUUUUAUGCCAAUUACAAUGCGUAUGAUUGUGCAUUUACGUUUGUAGGAGUUGAUUGAAACCAUAGAUGCAUGAACUUAGUACCUUGAUCUGAAUACUAGUUGCUAAGGUCGAGUAGUUGCAAUGCUUAAUAGGUCUCGGUAAAAGUCGAGUGAUUUCGUGUCACUUGCGAGUUAUAGGAGUUGAAUGUUUUAUUUAUGUUCCAACUAUAAGGACGACGGAGGGGGUCGGGCUUAUGUUCGAUACUUGGUGGUUUGCCCCGUCUGUCUAAAUGAAAUUGGACUAAGGUCGAAACGUGUCGGCGUUCGUGAUCAAGUGUUUGAAAGUACUAGUCUCAUACCUAGUAUGGGAUGGGGAAGCCUAGUACCUGAUUGAACUAGGACGUGGCUUAUACUCCUGCUGUCCUUGGAACGUCGUUCCCAUGGUGCAUCAUGUGGGUGCAAUGGCAGUGACAGUACGGCAGAGACCGGGACUGUGGAGCAUUGCAUGCCAAAGGCAGUUUGGCCCUGACACGUGCCUAAGGGAUCGAUGGGGAUAGCUGACAAAUGAAGCGACCCUUCGUGGUGCGUGGAUGUCGUGAGAUUAGGUUCGCCAUGCAUGGUUAAUAAAUUUGAAUCGAUUCGUCUACCUCUCACAGUUUGGGACUACUUGAUCGCUAUUCUGCACUGAGUAAAGAUGGAACAUGAUGAUGAUAUUAAUCUUGAUGCUUGUUCUUUAAUUGUUUGGAAACUAUGCUUGCCUAGUAUAAGUUGCUAAUCUAGACUGGUUAAUGAACUUAGAACUUGAGCUAAAAUAUUGAAAGUAAGGACCAACUUUAGUCGCUUUUGGCAAAAACAAACCCACCGCCAAAAAGCCUUGCAUGUCUAGGAGUCGGUGGAGUAGUUACCACCUGACGGGUAAGCCUUGUUGAGUACUAGUAUACUCAGCCUUGCUUGUGGCUUCUUUUUCAGGUGUGGUUGCU